AUUGCUUCUUGGCCUAGUUGGUUGACGUCAGCGUGUAGGACUUAUUCUUGUCAGUUUUAAUAUCUGAUAUGUCCUUUAUUUAAAGACCCUAAGUUAAACUGAUUUAUGGAGUAAGGAGAAGGAGCUUGCUCCAUCCACUUUGUGCAUCAUCCAGGUAUUGCUGUGUUUCCAGGACUGGUGCAGUCUCA